UCGAACGAUGAUGCCAGCUUGCUGGUGGAUUAGUGGCGAACGGGUGAGUAACACGUGAGCAACCUGCCCCUGACUUCGGGAUAACCGCGGGAAACCGUGGCUAAUACCGGAUAUGACGCGCUAUCGCAUGGUGGUGUGUGGAAAGAUUUAUCGGUUGGGGAUGGGCUCGCGGCCUAUCAGCUUGUUGGUGGGGUGAUGGCCUACCAAGGCGACGACGGGUAGCCGGCCUGAGAGGGUGACCGGCCACACUGGGACUGAGACACGGCCCAGACUCCUACGGGAGGCAGCAGUGGGGAAUAUUGCACAAUGGGCGCAAGCCUGAUGCAGCGACGCCGCGUGAGGGAUGACGGCCUUCGGGUUGUAAACCUCUUUCAGUAGGGAAGAAGGCCUUCGGGUUGACGGUACCUGCAGAAGAAGCGCCGGCUAACUACGUGCCAGCAGCCGCGGUAAUACGUAGGGCGCAAGCGUUGUCCGGAAUUAUUGGGCGUAAAGAGCUCGUAGGCGGUUUGUCGCGUCUGCUGUGAAAACGCGAGGCUUAACCUCGCGCCUGCAGUGGGUACGGGCAGACUAGAGUGCGGUAGGGGAGACUGGAAUUCCUGGUGUAGCGGUGGAAUGCGCAGAUAUCAGGAGGAACACCGGUGGCGAAGGCGGGUCUCUGGGCCGUUACUGACGCUGAGGAGCGAAAGCAUGGGGAGCGAACAGGAUUAGAUACCCUGGUAGUCCAUGCCGUAAACGUUGGGCACUAGGUGUGGGACCCAUUCCACGGGUUCCGUGCCGCAGCUAACGCAUUAAG
rnacentral:rRNA from 1 species